rnacentral:rRNA from 1 species
AGAGUUUGAUCCUGGCUCAGGAUGAACGUUGGCGGCAUGCUUAACACAUGCAAGUCGAACGACGAGUUUCGGCUCGGAGUGGCGAACGGGUGCGUAACACGUAGGUAACCUGCCCAAAAGUGGGGGAUAACCAUUGGAAACGAUGGCUAAUACCGCAUGUGCUUGGUUUAGGCCAAGUAAAGCGUUUGGAAAGCGCUUUUGGAGGGGCCUGCGGCCUAUCAGGUAGUUGGUGGGGUAAUAGCCUACCAAGCCAAUGACGGGUAGCUGACCUGAGAGGGUGGUCAGCCACAGGGGAACUGAGACACGGUCCCCACUCCUACGGGAGGCAGCAGUGAGGAAUAUUGCACAAUGGGCGCCAGCCUGAUGCAGCAAUGCCGCGUGCAGGAUGAAGCCUUUCGGGGUGUAAACUGCUUUUGCAUGGGAGCAGAACGGAGCGUACCAUGCGAAUAAGUCACGGCUAACUACGUGCCAGCAGCCGCGGUAAGACGUAGGUGGCGAACGUUAUCCGGAAUUACUGGGCGUAAAGGGUCCGUAGGCGGUUUUAUAGGUCUGACGUGAAAGCCCAUGGCUCAACUGUGGGAUGCCGUUAGAAACCAUAGAACUAGAAUUGCUUCGAGGUCGGCGGAAUUCCCGGCGUAGUGGUGGAAUGCGUAGAGGUCGGGAGGAACACCAAAUGCGAAGGCAGCCGGCUAGAAGACGAUUGACGCUGAGGGACGAAAGCGUGGGUAGCCAACAGGAUUAGAUACCCUGGUAGUCCACGCCGUAAACGAUGUGUGCUAGGUAUGUGAAUUUAAAAGUUUGCGUGCCAAAAGCUAACGCGUUAAGCACACCGCCUGGGGAGUACGGCCGCAAGGCUAAAACUCAAAGGAAUUGACGGGGGCCCGCACAAGCAGCGGAGCGUGUGGUUUAAUUCGAUGCAACGCGAAGAACCUUA